UCUUGACCUUGUAAGACCC
rnacentral:snRNA from 1 species